rnacentral:rRNA from 1 species
AAUGAACGCUGGCGGUAUGCCUAACACAUGCAAGUCGAACGACAGCACAGUAAGAGCUUGCUCUUACGGGUGGCGCGUGGCGGACGGGUGAGGUAUACAUCGGAUUCUACUUUUUCGUGGGGGAUAACGUCGGGAAACUUCCUCUAAUCCCGCAUACGACCUACGGGUGAAAGCAGGCGUUCGUCUGGCCUUGCGCGAUUGUAUGAGCCGAUGUCGGAGUAGCUAGUUGGCUGGGUAAAGGCAUACCACAGCCACGAUCCGUAUCUGCUCUGACAGGAUGAAUCGCUAGAUUGGCAGUGAGAAACGGCAGAGACUCUUAGAGGAGGCAGCAGCGGGGAAUCUUGCACAAUGGGCGCAAGCCUGAUACAGCAAUACCGCGUGGAUGAAGAAGGCCCUCGGGUGGUAAAGCCCUGAUGUCGGGAAAGAAAAGAAGCACGUUAAUCCGCCGUUGUUCUGACGGUACCCAAAGAAUAAGCACCGGCUAACUCCGUG